AGAAUAAACUUCUAGAACAUCUUGAACUUCAAACUGGCCUUAGGUUUCGUUUAGGAUCCAACACUAAUCCUAAUGACAGAUCAGGUUAUUAAGACUUCAAGUGUCCCUGAGAAGAACGAACUGAAGGGGCGAAACUCCACUAAGAAGCCAAAUUCAGUGUAAUUCAUGGGACUUGG